rnacentral:other from 1 species
AUAAUCCUGAGAUGUACGGAUACUUUAAUAAUUCAACCGACAUAGUUAAUACGGGAACUUGGUGUCUCCUGCCAGCUGACAUGCCUCUUGAAGGAAGUCAAAAGUUAGGAGCAGAGUACCCACCUGCUGAACGCGGGUCUGAAUUAGAAAAGCAACCGGCAUGUUGGGGAAAAG